UGGGGAAUAUUGCACAAUGGAGGGAACUCUGAUGCAGCGACGCCGCGUGAGUGAUGAAGGAAUUCGUUUCGUAAAACUCUGUUCUAUGGGAAGAAAAGGACUGUACCAUAGGAGAAAGCUCCGGCUAAAUACGUGCCAGCAGCCGCGGUAAUACGUAUGGAGCGAGCGCUGUCCGGAAUUAUUGGGCGUAAAGGGUGCGCAGGCGGCUUUACAAGUUGGAUGUGAAAUAUUGUGGCUCAACCACAAACGUGCAUCCAAAACUGCAAAGCUUAAGUUAAGGGGAGGUAAGUGUAAUUCCUGGUGUGGCGGUGGAAUGCGUGGAUAUCAGGGGGAAUACCGGUGGCAAAGGCGACUUACGGGACAUAAACUGACGCUCAGGCACGAAAGCGUGGGGAGCAAACAGG
rnacentral:rRNA from 1 species